ensembl:snRNA U6 U6 spliceosomal RNA
GCACACAUUUCAGCAGCACAUUAACUAAAAUUGGAGUGAUACAAAGAUUAGCAUGCCCCUUGCACAGGGAUGACAUGCAAAUUUGUAACGUGUCCAUAUUUUUU